GAUGAACGCUGGCGGCGUGCCUAAUACAUGCAAGUCGAGCGAACAGAUGAGGAGCUUGCUCCUCUGACGUAAGCGGCGGACGGGUGAGUAACACGUGGAUAACCUACCUAUAAGACUGGGAUAACUUCGGGAAACCGGAGCUAAUACCGGAUAAUAUAUUCAACCGCAUGGUUCAAUAGUGAAAGACGGUUUUGCUGUCACUUAUAGAUGGAUCCGCGCCGCAUUAGCUAGUUGGUAAGGUAACGGCUUACCAAGGCAACGAUGCGUAGCCGACCUGAGAGGGUGAUCGGCCACACUGGAACUGAGACACGGUCCAGACUCCUACGGGAGGCAGCAGUAGGGAAUCUUCCGCAAUGGGCGAAAGCCUGACGGAGCAACGCCGCGUGAGUGAUGAAGGUCUUCGGAUCGUAAAACUCUGUUAUUAGGGAAGAACAAAUGUGUAAGUAACUAUGCACGUCUUGACGGUACCUACUCAGAAAGCCACGGCUAACUCCGUG
rnacentral:rRNA from 1 species